UUGAUGGUAGAUGCCGAAUAUUUGCAGGACAGAGUUUCAUUGAGUCUUCUGUACUUGAUGAAUUCGGCCAAUACUGGGUCAUUGCUAGGCAGGAGGGCUUUCACCAUGUAGACUGUAGAUUCUGUAUCUAAGCUCACAACUGAUGCUAAUUCUCGUAAUCGCUUGUUCUGCAAUGGCUGCCCUUUUUCAACACAAACCCCUGAAGAAACAUUCCUUUGGAAAAGGCAAGUCUAACAUAGAGAGAAAACAGAAUGGCAUCAGCUUUACCUGUAUCUUGUCCACCACCAUUGUUUGACUGUGACAUUAGGGAACCCGCCGAAUUUCCUAUUCCUUUUGAGUCAACAUUGUUUACUAGAAAUACCUGUCUCUUGUCCAAUGCCAUCACCAUCAUCACCACCAUGACCAUCACCAACAUCAUGAC